ACUCCUACGGGAGGCAGCAGUGGGGAAUAUUGCACAAUGGGCGCAAGCCUGAUGCAGCCAUGCCGCGUGUAUGAAGAAGGCCUUCGGGUUGUAAAGUACUUUCAGCAGUGAGGAAGGGCGGUGACGUUAUUAAGCGUGGCCUCGUUUGACGUUAGCUGCAGAAGAAGCACCGGCUAACUCCGUGCCAGCAGCCGCGGUAAUACGGAGGGUGCGAGCGUUAAUCGGAAUUACUGGGCGUAAAGCGCAUGCAGGUGGUUUGUUAAGUCAGAUGUGAAAGCCCGGGGCUUAACCUCGGAAUAUGACAUUUGAAACUGGCAGACUAGAGUACU
rnacentral:rRNA from 1 species